CCAAAAUGAUGUAAAAAAUAUUCUGAAUUCCACCAUGUGGUUGAAAAAUUACGAGCUUUUUAACACUGAUUGGU